rnacentral:rRNA from 1 species
AAACUCAAAGGAAUUGACGGGGGCCCGCACAAGCGGUGGAGCAUGUGGUUUAAUUCGAUGCAACGCGAAGAACCUUACCUGGGCUUGAACAGGGAAUAACCACUUUCGAAAGAAAGUUUUCUCUUCGGAGAUAUUUCUAGAGGUGCUGCAUGGCUGUCGUCAAGCUCGUGCCGUGAGGUUUUGGGUUAAGUCCCGCAACGAGCGCAACCCUUGCCCUUAGUUGCCAUCAGAUAAUGCUGGGCACUCUAAGGGGACUGCCCCGGAUAACGGGGAGGAAGGUGGGGAUGACGUCAAGUCCUCAUGGCCCUUACGUCCAGGGCUACACACGUGCUACAAUGGCAGGUACAACGGGAAGCGAUACCGCGAGUGGAGCAAAUCCUUCAAACCUGUCUCAGUUCGGAUUGUAGUCUGCAACUCGACUACAUGAAGUUGGAAUCGCUAGUAAUCGCGGAUCAGANCGCCGUGGUGUAUACGUUCCCGGGCCUUGUACACACCGCCCGUCACGCCAUGGAAGU